GGCCAGACUCCUACGGGAGGCAGCAGUGGGGAAUAUUGGGCAAUGGGCGCAAGCCUGACCCAGCAACGCCGCGUGAAGGAAGAAGGCUUUCGGGUUGUAAACUUCUUUUAAGAGGGAAGAGCAGAAGACGGUACCUCUUGAAUAAGCCACGGCUAACUACGUGCCAGCAGCCGCGGUAAUACGUAGGUGGCAAGCGUUGUCCGGAUUUACUGGGUGUAAAGGGCGUGCAGCCGGGAGUGCAAGUCAGAUGGGAAAUCCCGCGGCUCAACCGCGGAACUGCAUUUGAAACUGUGCUUCUUGAGUGCUGGAGAGGCAGACGGAAUUCCUAGUGUAGCGGUGAAAUGCGUAGAUAUUAGGAGGAACACCAGUGGCGAAGGCGGCCUGCUGGGCUUUUACUGACGCUGAGGCUCGAAAGUGUGGGGAGCAAACAGGAUUAGAUACCCCCGUAAC
rnacentral:rRNA from 1 species